rnacentral:rRNA from 1 species
AAAAGCCGAUCUCAGUUCGGAUUGGAGGCUUAAAUUCGCCUCCAUGAAGUUGGAAUCGCUAGUAAUCGCGGAUCAGCAAUGUCGCGGUGAAUAUGUUCCCGAGCCUUGUACACACCGCCCGUCAAGCCACCCAAGCAGGAUGCACCCGAAAACAUUAUAUCUAACCAGGGCAACUUGGAGGAAAAUGUUGAAGGAGUGUUUUGUGAGGAGGACUAAGUCGUAACAAGGUAGUCGUAGGAGAACCUGCGGCUGGAUCACCUCCUUU